GAUAAAGAACGUAGCGAAAUGCGAUAAGUAAUGUGAAUUGCAGAAUUCAGUGAAUCAUCGAAUCUUUGAACGCACAUUGCGCCCGCCAGCACUCUGGCGGGCAUGCCUGUUCGAGCGUCAUUUCAACCAUCAAGCCCCCAGGGGCUUGUGCUGGGGCCCUGCGGCUGCCCGCAGGCCCUGAAAACCAGUGGCGGGCUCGCUAGUCACACCGAGCGCAGUAGCACAUCUCGCUCAGGGCGUGCGGCGGGCUCCUGCCGUGAAACCCCCCACUGUAACCCCAAAGGUUGACCUCGGAUCAGGUAGGAAUACCCGCUGAACUUAAGCAUAUCAAUAAGCGGAGGA
rnacentral:misc_RNA from 1 species